rnacentral:lncRNA from 1 species
UAUAAGGAACAAAAAAAAAAAGUUAAUUGCAUACAGCUUUCUAUAAACAUAGCAAAUUACAAAUAUAUUCCUAUAAAAUUUAACUUUUUUAUGUUAUCUCUACAAAAGUUCAGUAAUAUUUAUAUUUAUCCUUAUGGUGAAAUGAUCGUUACGGAAUAAAAGUACUUAAACCGGAAAAUGGUAUGCUUUAUAAGAAUACUUUAAAACAUAUAGAUAUUGGUUUGGAUAAACGAAUCUGGAUAUGAAUACCGAUAUG